UAGAUUUAUCACCUGGUGAUGUUUUAAGAAAGCCUAAGCUUAUGAGAUGGGAAACCAAUCUUUCCUCUCCUAGUGUUUCCAGUGAACCAAGGAACCUUUUUGUUACAGUGGAAAAGAAAAACGAACCUCAAACAGGCCAGAAAACAGAUGAUCUGGAUGAUAUCUUUUACUCCAAGAUGCUGGAUGAAGAUGUCAGUGACACUGGUGUUAUUGCUGCCUUUGAAAGCUUUACUAACCAACUAAAGAAGACGUUCUGGUCCAAGUACAAAAGAAUGGAGAUUCUUGCACAGAAUGCUCUGAAAGUUUCUG
rnacentral:lncRNA from 1 species